CCUACGGGAGGCAGCAGUGGGGAAUAUUGGACAAUGGGCGCAAGCCUGAUCCAGCAAUGCCGCGUGAGUGAUGAAGGCCUUAGGGUCGUAAAGCUCUUUUACCAGGGAUGAUAAUGACAGUACCUGGAGAAUAAGCUCCGGCUAACUCCGUGCCAGCAGCCGCGGUAAUACGGAGGGAGCUAGCGUUGUUCGGAAUUACUGGGCGUAAAGCGUACGUAGGCGGUUAUUCAAGUCAGAGGUGAAAGCCCGGGGCUCAACCCCGGAACGGCCUUUGAAACUAGGUAGCUAGAAUCUUGGAGAGGUCAGUGGAAUUCCGAGUGUAGAGGUGAAAUUCGUAGAUAUUCGGAAGAACACCAGUGGCGAAGGCGACUGACUGGACAAGUAUUGACGCUGAGGUACGAAAGCGUGGGGAGCAAACAGGAUUAGAUACCCUGGUAGUCCACGCCGUAAACGAUGAUAACUAGCUGUUCGGGCACUUGGUGCUUGAGUGGNGCAGCUACGCAUAAGUUAUCCGUCCGUGGGAGGUACGGUCGCGAAGAAUUAAAACUUAAAAGUAAGUAGUAGACGCGAGAGAGUCGACGACGACGACGACGAGGAGGAG
rnacentral:rRNA from 1 species